rnacentral:rRNA from 1 species
AUUGAACGCUGGCGGCAGGCCUAACACAUGCAAGUCGAACGGUAACAGGAAACAGCUUGCUGUUUCGCUGACGAGUGGCGGACGGGUGAGUAAUGUCUGGGAAACUGCCUGAUGGAGGGGGAUAACUACUGGAAACGGUAGCUAAUACCGCAUAACGUCGCAAGACCAAAGAGGGGGACCCUCGGGCCUCUUGCCAUCGGAUGUGCCCAGAUGGGAUUAGCUUGUUGGUGGGGUAACGGCUCACCAAGGCGACGAUCCCUAGCUGGUCUGAGAGGAUGACCAGCCACACUGGAACUGAGACACGGUCCAGACUCCUACGGGAGGCAGCAGUGGGGAAUAUUGCACAAUGGGCGCAAGCCUGAUGCAGCCAUGCCGCGUGUAUGAAGAAGGCCUUCGGGUUGUAAAGUACUUUCAGCGGGGAGGAAGGGAGUAAAGUUGAUACCUUUGCUCAUUGACGUUACCCGCAGAAGAAGCACCGGCUAACUCCGUG